rnacentral:pre_miRNA from 1 species
AAAAAGACAAACCCUGAGUUUUCGUGUCCAACGUUUGACUGUUCGUUUUAUAUAAAUUUUUUUUAUAAUUAGUAUUUUCAUUGUUGUUAGAUGAUAAAACAUGUUUAAUAUUUUAUACGUGACUUGUCUUUUUAAUUUUUUCAUAUUUUUUUCAAAUAAGACGGACGGUCAAACGUUGAACAUGGAAACACAGGUUUGUUUUUUUU